CAGUAGCCGCGGUAAUACGUAGGGGGCAAGCGUUAUCCGGAUUUACUGGGUGUAAAGGGAGCGCAGGCGGUCUGGCAAGUUGAGAGUGGAAGCAGGGGGCUCAACCCCCUGACUGCUCCCAAAACUGUUGGACUGGAGUAUGGGAGAGGCAGGCGGAAUUCCUAGUGUAGCGGUGAAAUGCUCAGAUAUUAGGAAGAACACGGGUGGCGAAGGCGGCCUGCUGGACCAAAACUGACGCUGAGGCUCGAGAGCGUGGGGAGCGAACAGGAUUAGAUACCCCCGUAGUCCCUGUCCUUAUACA
rnacentral:rRNA from 1 species